AUUGAACGCUGGCGGCAUGCCUUACACAUGCAAGUCGAACGGCAGCACGGGUGCUUGCACCUGGUGGCGAGUGGUGAACGGGUGAGUAAUACAUCGGAACGUACCUUAUCGUGGGGGAUAACGCAGCGAAAGCUGUGCUAAUACCGCAUACGCCCCGAGGGGGAAAGCGGGGGAUCGCAAGACCUCGCGCGAUUAGAGCGGCCGAUGCCUGAUUAGCUAGUUAGUGGUGCAAAAGCCCACCAAGGCGACGAUCAGUAGCUGGUCUGAGAGGACGAUCAGGCACACUGGGACGGGGACACGGCCCAGACUCCUACGGGAGGCAGCAGUGGGGAAUUUUGGACAAUGGGGGCAACCCUGAUCCAGCAAUGCCGCGUGAGUGAAGAAGGCCUUCGGGUUGUAAAGCUCUUUUGUCAGGGAAGAAACACCGGCUCUAACACAGUCCGGGAAUGACGGUACCUGAAGAAUAAGCACCGGCUAACUACGUGCCAGCCGCCGCCGUAA
rnacentral:rRNA from 1 species